UUCGAUUGAACGUAAGGGUUUGAGAUUAGUAGGUGAGGUGGGGCCGAUUUGGUGAGGGAAACGAUUUUCUGAGAGGUGAGGUUUGAUUCUGUGUUGAGAGGUGCAGAGGGUUCGUUAUUUUUUGUUUGGAGAUGUUUCUAUUUCAUCCACUUUUUUUAUGUAAUAUGUGACUAGAAGAAUACGGAAGCAGCACACACUUCCUCGACGGAGGCCGUGUCAAGUUCCUAGACUUUUCUUCAAUAGUUACACACAAAUUUAAAGAACUCAAGGCGGAUAAGUGUUACAAUCUCACUCUAGAACCUUCUUUCAAAGAUGAAUCCUCUAACAAAUACUGCACUCUACGGUGUGAGUUUCUCUUCAUUGGCUUCAUGAUUGAUGGGUUCUAAAGGGUGAGAAAUCAUGGAGAAUUGGGAAUUUUCGCCUGAUAUGGACGUGCUCAGUGUUGCUAUCUCAAAAUUUAUGUCUUUCAUUCUGUUGUUAAUGCGUUGCCGUAAUCGUGUCUGUCUUUUGAAUUUUUAUGUUUGUUUCCUUUAUGUCUUUCGUCGGUGUUUUGUUGUUUACUUUUCCUUAUUAUUAUGUAUUGUUGCUUUGAGUCCAACCUACAAUCCUACAGGAUGUAUGUUUAUCCUUUUGGUUUAAGAUAAUUAUGUUUCCAUUAUUAUUGUUUAGUGUUUGUUCAUUUUAAUUGAA